rnacentral:rRNA from 1 species
AUUAUUAGAAAUAAUAUAUUGUUAGUAUAUAAAACUUACGAAAACAAAAAAUUAUGGCGGUAUCUUAAGCUUUUCAGAGGAAUUUGCUCUUUAAUGGAUAAAACACCCAAAUCUUACUAAAGUUGGUAAAGACAGCUUGUAUACCACUAUUAAAGCAAUUAUUAAUUAUAAUUGCUGUAAAUUUUAUACAAAAAAUAAGUUAAGUCAAGGUGCAGCUUAAACUUUAGGAUGAAGUGAAUUACAAUUCUCUUUAGACAAUUAUUUUGUUUUUAAAAAUAAAAAAAAUUAGGAUUUGAAAGUAAAAAUUUUAAUAAAAUGAUUAUUUGAAUUAAGCUCUGAGAUAUGUAC